AUUGAACGCUGGCGGCAUGCCUUACACAGGCAAGUCGAACGGUAACAGGUCUUCGGAUGCUGACGAGUGGCGAACGGGUGAGUAAUACAUCGGAACGUGCCUAGUAGUGGGGGAUAACUACUCGAAAGAGUGGCUAAUACCGCAUGAGAUCUACGGAUGACAGCAGGGGAUCGCAAGACCUUGUGCUACUAGAGCGGCCGAUGGCAGAUUAGGGAGUUGGUGGGAUAAAAGCUUACCAAGCCGACGAUCUGUAGCUGGUCUGAGAGGACGAUCAGCCAGACUUGGACUGAGACACGGCCCAGACUCCGACGGGAGGAAGCAGUGGGGAAGUUUGGACAAUGGGCGAAGGCCUGAUCCAGCAAUGCCGCUUGCAGGACGAAGGCCUUCGGGUUGUAAACUGCUUUUGUACGGAACGAAAAGCCCCGGGUUAAUACCCUGGGGUCAUGACGGUACCGUAAGAAUAAGCACCGGCUAACUACGUGCCAGCAGCCGCGGUAA
rnacentral:rRNA from 1 species